GAUGAAGAACGUAGCGAAAUGCGAUAAGUAAUGUGAAUUGCAGAAUUCAGUGAAUCAUCGAAUCUUUGAACGCACAUUGCGCCCAUUAGUAUUCUAGUGGGCAUGCCUGUUCGAGCGUCAUUAAGUCCACUUAAGCCCUGCUUAGUGUUGGGAGACUGCUCCAGCGGUGCUACCCUGUAGCUACCCUGCAGCUCCUCAAAGACAGCGGCGGAGUUGUGGUAUCCUCUGAGCUUAGUAACUUGUUCUAGCUUUCGAGUACACCACUUCCCCUGCCGUAAAACCCUUAAUUUUUAAUGGUUGACCUCGGAUCAGGUAGGAAUACCCGCUGAACUUAAGCAUAUUCAAUAAGCGGAGGA
rnacentral:misc_RNA from 1 species